UUGGCGGUGGCGGAGUUGGAAAUUUUAGAUGAGUCCGUGGCCACACCAUCCGCAACAUGAGCACUGUUCACUAAGUCAGCUGUAAGGAAAAUAACGUCGAUUGAGAACAGUUUAGUUAGUAUACGGCAGUGCAAUGAUACACUGAAUAUAUCGACAGUGCUGUUAAGAAUGUGACAUGCAAACAAGAAACCAUCUGCAGGUUUUGUCAGUAUUGAACUAAACAGCAUAUACCCAGUACGUUAUGUGAGUUAAACAUAUACGAUAUUUGUGAAGUGUGUUAUUGCAGACAUUGUAAAUCUUCUGCAGGAUUGCUGACCUAGAAACUGUGAGUAAAUAAAAGGUUUGAAAACUCAAAAUGGUCGGCGCCACUUCCACAUGAGGAAAUCCAAUGCAAAUCCACGAACGUGGCAUCAACCAGACUGAGUAAACAGUGGAAAGUUAGAAUGGAAAGUAACGGUAAGAGAAAGCAGACGAUAGCAAGUCUUUAGUUGCCACACAAAUAUACUUGAGAUGGUAUCGACAGCCAGCUCUUGGGAACAUCUCUUAUGAUUUCCAAAUGAAAACGGUGCGAGUUUCCAAUCAAUUUCCGAAGCAUGUUUUGAACAAUGUCGAUCCAAUGUAUGCCGAAACAAAAGAAAGACUCGUUUUGUAUGUACAUUCAUAGGAACAGGAAAUCAGAGACAGGAAUCUUGCUAUCGUCGAUCAUAAUUAUCUUUCAACAGAUUUUCCUGACUUGCAUAGCAAUCAAGAAAAUGUCUUUAUCUCACGGCAAAAUCAUGGCAUACUAUACCUAAGAAAUACCCAUAUGGAUAUGCUGCAGAUGAGAAAGAAUGGGAAACAUUAGCGUACUAAAACACACCACUACUGGUCAUUGCACGCAAGCUCUACUUAGUCUACCGAUAUGCUUAGCUGUUAAGCUAAAAUGAAACAUUUUUUUAUAUUAUGCAUGGACAUUACUUCUAGCAAACAGUUUAUAAAAGCAUGUACUAUGUGUAUUUGAUUCCUUUCUUUGAUAUUGACACACUAAUAGGCAUUUGAUUCAGUAUAAGAAACAGGUUCAUUAUACAAUGACAGUUCUAAUCUAUGUUGUGUUAGUAAGCAUGCAUUGUGAAAUUUACAGAGUUGCCUCUGUACUUAGUUGUAGUCACACUCAUGCAAUACCCGACGCUCCAUACCAUGGUAGAGGGGAGCUCAGAAAACACUCCAGAUUACAUAAAGAACACUGUACACUCCUGCUAAGAAAAUUAAAUAGGAAUUUAAUGGUUCAUUUUUCAAUAACCCGGUUGUAUAAAAUAAAGGUGAGCUUAAUCGGAACUACAGAAGUAAUUAAGUGAGUUCCUUUCACUAUAAUUUGGCCUAUAGUAUUUGAAAUUCUGAACAUUGAAAGUAUUUGUUUAAGCCUAAUCACUGUUCAUAUUGAUUAUGUGUCAACCACUCGUGCUGAUAUUAAGUAAAUAUUUUACAUGGUAAAUUAGGGAAGUCUCCAGCUUGGACCGAACAUUCUGUGACGUAUUCCAAAUCAUUAGAACUGUGCUGAGAACAGAAAUGAAACUUGAAAGACUCGGAUCAAGUUGUUAACACCGUUCUACACAAUCACAAAUUUAAUUGCUCCUACGUAACGUGCAGAUAACUCGUGCUCAGUCGGAGUUCAAAUAACUAGCAAGUUGUGUUUGGGUUGGAUUUAACAAAACACUAUGGAGAAAGGUCACACAGCGGUCAUGGCUGGUUAUAUAUAGAGACCUUAUAACUACCGGGAUCCCUUUUAUUACAGUGUACGACCCUCUAUGGGUGGGUUGUAACGGAGGAAAUUUUUACUACACCGGUUUACACGGAGCGCAGGUACCCUCAUUACUGUCCGGCUAAUUCUGUGCCAAGAUUCUGCCAGCACUUGAUAAUGUCUAACACCUCAAUCAAUCAUCGUGUUGAAUACGAAGAUUUGUUAUGUCUAACACUUUCAAUCAUCACUUUUACAUAGAAAGGCUGUUGAUAAAGAAAGAAGCAACGAAAAUAAUGUACCUAGAAUGGCGAUGGACCAAGUACAAAAUUCAACUCUUUUUUUUGUAAUUUGCACGUUUGUAGAUGGAGUUUGAUAAUGUCUUCAUUUAACGGACGAACCUUGCACGAUUCUGCGCGUGGGUCUCACAGUAAAAAUAAAUAUCA